CUCUUGGCAAUAAAGCGCCCUUAUUUUUAAUGGUGCUUUAAGGAAAAGAGCUCUAAAAAGCUUUUGUGUUAAGAGUAUGCCGGGGAAGGUUUUCCGGUUUAUCCCGGAGGGCUUGUAGCUCAGUUGGUUAGAGCGCGCGCUUGAUAAGCGUGAGGUCGGAGGUUCAAGUCCUCCCAGGCCCACCAAUCACUCUAUCAAUUUAAUGAAGCGCUAGCGAGCUUGCUUAUAGGAUGCUUUCCUAUCAAAUCUGCAAACUGCUAAAAUAAAGUCUACAAACCGAUAAAGCCUAUAAAUUUGUAARAARCUUACAUAUUUUGUUUGGUAAUGCCUUAAACGCAUUUAAAAACACCGAUCAUUUGUCAUAGGACUUCAAAGUGAUGUCAUCACUUGAAUUUUAAGAGUGAACUUAAAUUUUAAGGGUGAAAUUGUCAUUUAAAAUGAAGUUUUAUUGAUGAUGAAGUUCUAUUGAUUAAGUUGGUAGAUAAGAUUAAGUCCGUAGAUAAAAUAUGGUUUGUUUAUCAGGGUGUUUGAAAAGGACAUUUAUCAUUUGCGAAGGGCAUUUGUAAAAGGGAAGAGCUUUACUGUUUGCUUUAGGCAAAUCCAAA
rnacentral:misc_RNA from 1 species